UACGUAGGUGGCAAGCGUUGUCCGGAAUUAUUGGGCGUAAAGGGCGCGCAGGCGGCGUCGUAAGUCGGUCUUAAAAGUGCGGGGCUUAACCCCGUGAGGGGACCGAAACUGCGAUGCUAGAGUAUCGGAGAGGAAAGCGGAAUUCCUAGUGUAGCGGUGAAAUGCGUAGAUAUUAGGAGGAACACCAGUGGCGAAAGCGGCUUUCUGGACGACAACUGACGCUGAGGCGCGAAAGCCAGGGGAGCAAA
rnacentral:rRNA from 1 species